rnacentral:tRNA from 2 species
AGCGAGAUAGUGUAAUAUGAUAGCACGAGAGACUCAUUACCUCUUAGUUUGGGUUCAAAUCCUAAUUUCGCUA